CCUCCAGGAUCCACCUCCCACAAGACAGGCCCUUGUUUCCUGGUCCUCACUAUGCAGAGAGUCUCCAUAUGAAUGCAGCUUCCCGAGGGCCUUGGGUCUCGGGCUCUAUCUACUCCACCUCCUCCAUUGUCCCUCCACUAGGGAUGUGAUAGCUUCCCAAUUCACUAAUUUCCGCCAUCUUUUUGGCUUUCAGCUCUCCCUACAUCUUUGUGGCUAGUUUCCUAAGUUAGGCUCCUUCAAUAGGACUAUUUGGCUGGACUCUACAUCUCUGGCUGGACCCCAACUAAUACAUCAGUUGAUGGAGAUGCCUUCCAAAUAUUGGACUCCUAGCAAGAAUCUCUGCCUGAAAAUAGAAUGAAAUGGCCAGUAUUUGCCAAACCCGCCAGUUAUCAGGCGCUUCCCAAACAGUACAUUCGGAGGACGUGUCAAUUAUGCAAGGACUAGAACACAACAAAACACAGGAAUCAAACAGAUCUCAGCAAGAUGGUGGUGUACGUAGACUCUGAACUCACCUCCUCCCACGAACACAACCAGGUUACAACUACUCUUGGAAAAGUUACCGUGGAGAGAGAGCUGAAAGCUGGAUAAAAAGAACCCCCACAACAAGGGACAGUCCUGACUGAAGUGGAAGAGGCAGAAAUUCCUUCUGGAGAAUAAAACCACCUUCAUGAGCCACAGACCUUCACAGCCAGCCAGGUGGGAGCCACCCUAAGGUACGCAGCCCUCCCUGGAGGAGUGGGGACCUGAGGGCGGCUAUGUUACCGCUAUAAGCAUCCUUCAGACUCAGCACAGCUGAGAUGGCUUCGUGGGCUAUUAACUGCAGUGGGGGUACCACCAGAAAAGCCAUUGGAAGAAAGCUGAAAAACCCAGCUCUCAAAGGGCCCACACACAAAUUCACCCGUCUCAAGGAGCAACCUAAAAUCUCCAAAAAGAAAGCUGCACAGUGCUUUGGUGAAAAGAGACUCACCUCGUAGGCUUUGGGUGCAUCUCGGUGAGAGGUGAGAUCUCUCCAGAGACUGAGACACUGGUGGUGGCCAUUGUUGUGACCUAGUCCAGGCGUGCUGACACGGAUGCCGGCAGUUGCCAAUUAAGUUCUUCCCCUGGCCUGUUAGCCCAGGGGUCUGCCCCACCCACUAGAGUGCAGAUUUAAUCCACUUCAGCCAGGGCAGGCAGCCUGCCCUAGAGACCAGCUCCACCCGACAGCAAGCCCUCAGACUACUUGUCAGCAUGCCUAGACUGAGUGUCUUGAUCCUCUACAGGCAGAUAAGCAAAUGGAGACAAACUGGUUGGCAAUCUUCUUAAGGUCAUAUAGAGGCCAAGUCAGGAUUUGAAGCCAGAUGGAACCUGUUCUCCCUAACCAACUCUCUGAGGCCAAACCUCAGCGGCUGGAGGAUUCAGUCCUUAUGCUGUGCAGACAGCUCCUCCUGAGGACUCACAUCGGACACAGCAUGCAGGCAAUCAGCCGGAAGCAAUCUAGAGCAGAGGCCAAUGGAUGCAAGCUUGUCCCACCCACCCCUAACAAGACCAGUUUGGCCAUGUUGUCACAGCAUUAAGCAUCAAGCUGCACACUGACUCCUAACGCUCUGGUUGAAGACUUAGAAGUUACGCAUUUGAGCUGAAUGAGAUGGGCCAGUGUGUGUCAUUAUCCCCGUUUGUGGAGGUGAUUAUGGGGCACACCCAGGCUGGUUCGCUGACUUCACACCCUAUCUGUGAUGGGAGCUCAAUUGCACUGGAAUGGAACACCGUGUUUCUACUUGUGUUGAAGUUCUCUCUUUAUCUGACCGUGUCUCCCAUUUGUGUGCUGCAGCCACAGAGCUCAGCACACUUGUGACUGGCCCAAGGAAAGGGCCUGGUCAAUCCUCACCGAAGGAGUGAAUACCCUACGUUGAAAAGGCGCUGCAUAGAAAGUGAAUGUGAGGUGCAGCAGAAUGAAAUGUUCAGCAAUGCUCUUGACUUGACCCGCCAGUUGUCUGGUUAAAUUUGUGCCGUUGUUCUGUUAGGAUUGUUUUCUUUUAAGCUCCCUCUCAUCUCUCAAUUUUACUUACAUACUUGACAUUUCUUUCCACCAGAUUUGUGCCCUGCCUUUUGCCACGUCGUUUCACCAGCAAAUGUCUGUAGACUUGGUACUGUGAACAGUUAUAAAACGCAGCAGUAAUACUGUGGGGAUGGAAGCUGCCUUUUCAGAAUGCAUCCUGUUUGUGAAUCUGACUAGUUAUUUAACAAACCAUAAAAACAGCUACUAUAAUCAUUAAA